AGUGAACGCUGGCGGUAGGCCUAACACAUGCAAGUCGAACGGCAGCACAGUAAGAGCUUGCUCUUACGGGUGGCGAGUGGCGGACGGGUGAGGAAUACAUCGGAAUCUACUUUUUCGUGGGGGAUAACGUAGGGAAACUUACGCUAAUACCGCAUACGACCUACGGGUGAAAGCAGGGGAUCUUCGGACCUUGCGCGAUUGAAUGAGCCGAUGUCGGAUUAGCUAGUGGGCGGGGUAAAGGCCCACCAAGGCGACGAUCCGUAGCUGGUCUGAGAGGAUGAUCAGCCACACUGGAACUGAGACACGGUCCAGACUCCUACGGGAGGCAGCAGUGGGGAAUAUUGGACAAUGGGCGCAAGCCUGAUCCAGCCAUACCGCGUGGGUGAAGAAGGCCUUCGGGUUGUAAAGCUCUUUUGUUGGGAAAGAAAAGCAGCAGGUUAAUCCCCCGAUGUUCUGACGGUACCCAAAGAAUAAGCACCGGCUAACUUCGUG
rnacentral:rRNA from 1 species